rnacentral:rRNA from 1 species
CCUACGGGGGGCAGCAGUGGGGAAUAUUGGACAAUGGGGGGAACCCUGAUCCAGCCAUGCCGCGUGUGUGAAGAAGGCCCUCGGGUUGUAAAGCACUUUCAGUGAGGAAGAACGCUUGGUGGUUAAUACCCAUCAGGAAAGACAUCACUCACAGAAGAAGCACCGGCUAACUCCGUGCCAGCAGCCGCGGUAAUACGGAGGGUGCGAGCGUUAAUCGGAAUUACUGGGCGUAAAGCGCGCGUAGGUGGCUUGAUAAGCCGGUUGUGAAAGCCCCGGGCUCAACCUGGGAACGGCAUCCGGAACUGUCAAGCUAGAGUGCAUGAGAGGAAGGUAGAAUUCCCGGUGUAGCGGUGAAAUGCGUAGAGAUCGGGAGGAAUACCAGUGGCGAAGGCGGCCUUCUGGACUGACACUGACACUGAGGUGCGAAAGCGUGGGUAGCAAACAGGAUUAGAUACCCCAGUAGUC